CUACGGUGCUGAAGCAACAAAUGCCCUGCUUCCAGGAAAAGCCUCUAAGCAUCAGGUAACAUCAAAUCGUACCCCAAACCGACACAGGUGGUCAGGUAGAGAAUACCAAGGCGCUUGAGAGAACUCGGGUGAAGGAACUAGGCAAAAUGGUGCCGUAACUUCGGGAGAAGGCACGCUGACACGUAGGUGAAGUGAUUUACUCAUGGAGCUGAAGUCAGUCGAAGAUACCAGCUGGCUGCAACUGUUUAUUAAAAACACAGCACUGUGCAAACACGAAAGUGGACGUAUACGGUGUGACGCCUGCCCGGUGCCGGAAGGUUAAUUGAUGGGGUCAGCGCAAGCGAAGCUCCUGAUCGAAGCCCCGGUAAACGGCGGCCGUAACUAUAACGGUCCUAAGGUAGCGAAAUUCCUUGUCGGGUAAGUUCCGACCUGCACGAAUGGCGUAAUGAUGGCCAGGCUGUCUCCACCCGAGACUCAGUGAAAUUGAACUCGCUGUGAAGAUGCAGUGUACCCGCGGCAAGACGGAAAGACCCCGUGAACCUUUACUAUAGCUUGACACUGAACAUUGAGCCUUGAUGUGUAGGAUAGGUGGGAGGCUUUGAAGUGUGGACGCCAGUCUGCAUGGAGCCGACCUUGAAAUACCACCCUUUAAUGUUUGAUGUUCUAACGUGGACCCGUGAUCCGGGUUGCGGACAGUGUCUGGUGGGUAGUUUGACUGGGGCGGUCUCCUCCUAAAGAGUAACGGAGGAGCACGAAGGUUGGCUAAUCCUGGUCGGACAUCAGGAGGUUAGUGCAAUGGCAUAAGCCAGCUUGACUGCGAGCGUGACGGCGCGAGCAGGUGCGAAAGCAGGUCAUAGUGAUCCGGUGGUUCUGAAUGGAAGGGCCAUCGCUCAACGGAUAAAAGGUACUCCGGGGAUAACAGGCUGAUACCGCCCAAGAGUUCAUAUCGACGGCGGUGUUUGGCACCUCGAUGUCGGCUCAUCACAUCCUGGGGCUGAAGUAGGUCCCAAGGGUAUGGCUGUUCGCCAUUUAAAGUGGUACGCGAGCUGGGUUUAGAACGUCGUGAGACAGUUCGGUCCCUAUCUGCCGUGGGCGCUGGAGAACUGAGGGGGGCUGCUCCUAGUACGAGAGGACCGGAGUGGACGCAUCACUGGUGUUCGGGUUGUCAUGCCAAUGGCACUGCCCGGUAGCUAAAUGCGGAAGAGAUAAGUGCUGAAAGCAUCUAAGCACGAAACUUGCCCCGAGAUGAGUUCUCCCUGAGACUUUAAGUCUCCUGAAGGAACGUUGAAGACGACGACGUUGAUAGGCCGGGUGUGUAAGCGCAGCGAUGCGUUGAGCUAACCGGUACUAAUGAACCGUGAGGCUUAACCUUACAACGCCGAAG
rnacentral:rRNA from 1 species